rnacentral:rRNA from 1 species
AUCGAACGCUGGCGGCAGGCUUAACACCUGUACGUCGAGCGGAGCGGCGGACGGGUGAGUAAGGCCUAGGAAUCUGCCUGGUAGUGGGGGAUAUCGUCCGGAAACGGGCGCUAAUACUGCAUACUAUCAGAUGACACGAGGUCGGAUUAGCUAGUUGGUGGGGGAAAGGCCUACCAAGGCGACGAUCCGUAACUGGUCUGAGAGGAUGAUCAGUCACACUGGAACUGAGGCACGGUCCAGACUCCUACGGUAGGCAGCAGUGGGGAAUAUUGGACAAUGGGCGAAAGCCUGAUCCAGCCAUGCCGCGUGUGUGAAGAAGGUCUUCGGAUUGUAAAGCACUUUAAGUUGGGAGGCGUUACCAACAGAAUAAGCACCGGCUAACUUCGUGCCAGCAGCCGCGGUAAUUC